CCCCUGUCUCUAAAUAAAAUAUAAAAAAAACAGGCUGUGGAUAUUGCUCAGUGGAGUCCAAAGGUUCCGGUGACUCAAGCCCUUCAGCCACUAAGACACUGCAUACAAAGAUCGGGAAACUGAAUCCUGGAACAUCAGGAGAUGGCAGCGGAGCCCCAGCUUCUGGAGAAUAAGUUGGAAGAGAAGAGGUAAGCAAUUUGCCAUACUUUGCCCACAGUCUCCUUCCUCCAAAUGUUGGUUCUUUAGGAGCCCUGAAUACUUACCAGACCUUCUUUGAAUAGGUCUUUAUGGAUUACUGCCACUAUUUACCAAAUAAAGACACUGAAGCCCCAAGACAAAACUUUAAAAGAGAAUAAAAUGUGAUGUGUGUCAUUCAUGAAGUUAACAGAUAUCAGCAAGGCACGGUAGUACACACCAGUAAUACCAGCGGCUCGGGAGAGGAGUCAGGCAGGAGGAUCACAAGUUCGAGGGCAGACGGGCAAGUUAGUAAGACCUUGCCUCAAAAUAAAAUUUUAAAAAGGGUUGGGAAUGUAACUCAGUAGUAAAGCACCCCUGGGUUCAAUCCCAAAUACUGAAAAAAUAAAAAGAAGAAAAAUAGAAGUCAAAAAGCAGACAAAACCUAGUGAGAGUUUAUUAGAACCCAGACAUAUUUCAGAAAGUAAGACUUCUGAUUGUGUACCAAUACCAUUUUAAUUUUUCCUUUGUAAAAUUGCUAGUUUUUAUGUAAAUGCUAGCUAUUUUCAUUUAAACUCAAUAAGUUUAGAUUUUAUAACUGUAAAUUUCAGACUCUGAAAGUGAUGUCUGCUAAUAGGAUCAGUUAAUACAAAUUCAAGUCAUAUCUUAAACAUUGUUCCAAAGAAAAUCACUUAUUCAACACUCAAUAAUGUUUUUAGUUGUCAAUGAACCGUCAUUUUUAUUUAUUUAUAUGCAGUGCUGAGAAUCAAACCCAGUGCCUCAUACAUGCUAGGCAAGCGCUUUACCACUGAGCCACAAACCCAGCCCUAAGUAAAUAAUUUUGUUAUAUAAAAAACUAGAUAGUGGGUCUGGGGAUAUAGCUCCAUUGGUAGAGGCCCUCUAGGCCCCAAGGUUCAAUCUCAGCACCUAAAAAAACAAAACAAAACCAAAAAAACUAGAUAUUGAAAGUCUCCAAAAGACUUAAAUAUUUAACUACUGUUGAAGUUUCAAGAUUCCAGAGGCAAGCAAUCCCAGCACUGAUUUACCUAUGCUGAAAUAAUCUUACAGCUACAAAAUCAAAUCGCCAAAGAACUUUGGAUAUUGUGUAACAGGUUAACAUAUUUUACUCCAUGGAAAAGUUAUAGGCCAGGCUAUAUGGGCAAUGACUAAACAGACUCCAUUUUACCUGGACACUCCAUGUUAUGUAGGAAAUGCUUCUCCCAUGGGAACACCCCACCUCUGUACCCGUAAACAGUUGCUUAGCCUGACUUGUUUGGUAAUACAAAAUGACGAAAUAGAAAUUCUUGUAUAAUGAAAAAGUGUUCUCUUUUUGAUUCUUUGUUUCCUAAACAAUGUACCAUGUUAACAGUGAUUGUUUAGAUGUUAGUAACCAUUCUCUAAUG